GGAGUUGUGGCUCAUGGUAGAGCACUUGCCUGGCAUGUGUGAGGCCCUGAGUUCGAUCCUCAGCACCA
rnacentral:tRNA from 1 species